CCUACGGGAGGCAGCAGUGGGGAAUAUUGGGCAAUGGGCGCAAGCCUGACCCAGCAACGCCGCGUGAAGGAUGAAGGUUUUCGGAUUGUAAACUUCUGUCGCGAGGGACGAAGAAUGACGGUACCUCGUAAGAAAGCCCCGGCUAACUACGUGCCAGCAGCCGCGGUAAUACGUAGGGGGCAAGCGUUGUCCGGAAUGACUGGGCGUAAAGGGAGUGUAGGCGGCCUUGUAAGUUAGAUGUGAAAUCCUACGGCUUAACCGUAGAACUGCAUCUAAAACUGUGAGGCUGGAGUGCAGGAGAGGUGAGUGGAAUUCCUAGUGUAGCGGUGGAAUGCAUAGAUAUCACGCAGAACUCCGAUUGCGAAGGCAGCAUACCGGCGCCCAACUGACGCUGAAGCACGAAAGCGUGGGUAUCGAACAGGAUUAGAUACCCUAGUAGUC
rnacentral:rRNA from 1 species